rnacentral:siRNA from 1 species
AAGGUGAUUUGGAGUCGUUGGCGA